GACGAACGCUGGCGGCGUGCUUAAUACAUGCAAGUCAACUAAGUCUUUUGCAGCAAUGUAAAAGAUUUGGUGGCGCACGGGUGAGUAUAACGUAGGCAAUCUACCAAAAGGUCUGACACAACCUGCCGAAAGGCAGGCUAAUAUCAGAUGAUACAAAAAGCAGGCAUCUGCUCUUUAUCAAAGCUUCGGCGCCUUUUGAUGAGCCUACGCCCCAUUAGAUAGUUGGCGGGGUAAUAGCCCACCAAGUCUACGAUGGGUAACUGGUCUGAGAGGAUGAUCAGUCACACUGGAACUGAGACACGGUCCAGACUCCUACGGGAGGCAGCA
rnacentral:rRNA from 1 species